AUACACUUUUGACACCUUGUCGAAGUGACUGGGUACCUGCCUAGAAGCGCGGGCACAGCUACAGCUGCGCCAUACAUCUUGCCGCCCAUCCCGCUCCCCAGCUCCGUGAUCACGGCAGAGUGGUUCCUUGAUGACCUGUCCGUCUCCUCUGUGACAUCGUAACCCAACAAAAUACCGGAGCGUAUUAGCUUGGCUUUGUUCUUUUCCAUCCUUCCCUUCGAAUGAUGAUGACUGAUAAUGGACCCAGUUACGUUUGCAGAUGAUUUACACGUAGGGUUUUCAGUACAAACCUUGUAAUACCCACUGUGUGAUCUAGAGAAGAAAGUUACAUUCUUUCCAAAUUGUUUUGAUGCACUUAUGUGGGAAAAUGAUGUACGUUUGAAUAUGUAUUUCCUCUCUGAAUCAUCAUGGCUCGAGAUGAAUAUUUGUAGACAUGGAAUGAGUUUUCUGUAUUUGAACUGUAUGGUCCCCUAAAUUCUCCCCAGCUUUUUAAAGUCAUCACUGGAGUGCUACCUCCAGAGUGUCCCAAAGCAUCCACCACUGCCUGUUCUUCAGACACUGUGAGUUUCCAAGCUGGAGAAGGCUGCUAGCUGGUGAGGCAUUCUCUGGCACAUCUCUGGCUGGCUGAUGUGAACUUAACACACAAGACUUGGCAGACAGUAUCUAACCAUGGUCACGUCCAUUUCUGGAACACUCAUGGAGGAUUUUACACCUAUGCUAGUGGCAUACGUUAUUUCAUUUAGUUUUCCCAACAAUCAUAAUUAGAUUUUAUCACCUGUAUUAAUAAGGAAACUGUCAAAGCGAGUGAUGUGCAGACUUUGGACUGGAACACGGGUCUUUCUGAUCCCCGUCUCUGUUCCCUCCCCAGCCUGUCCUUCCAAAUGGCCAGGAGACUCUUCCUCAGUCUUGAGUUUCCCGCUGAUGUUACCACUCUCUUUGUUUCUGGAGAGGAAAACAACUCUAAACUUACUUUCCAGUUGGAAAUGGAAUGGAGAGUUAACGUUGGAAGCCGGGAGAGUCUGUCCUGUGAUGAAGCGGUCUCCGAGCCACUUCCAUUGGGACGUCACGUCACUGUCUGGGCCCCUUGCACAGCCUGUGCACAGCAUUCCUAGGAGAGAAUUCAGCAGUGCAGCAUCCUCUCCGAGCUCUAUGAGUUGAUCGGCUUCCACCGCAAGUCCGCCUUCUUCAAGCGGGUGGCCCCCGUGCAGCGCGCGGCCCCCAGCAUCCCGGAGCCUGGCGGGAAGGCCUGCUACCGACUCCUUCUGCAGACGCUUCCUGGCUACAGUCUGUUGCUGGAUCUGCACGACUUCAACAAAGGUGUUGGAACUAAAACAUUGCUUCAGUCCCAUUAACCAUGCCUGGUUUGGGCCCUGCUGUCCUGUUUCAUCAGGGUGAAUUCUGAUUCGUUUAGAACAGGGCUCAGCAGACUUUUUCUGUCAAGGGCUUGGGAGUAAGUAUUUCAGGGUCUGCAAACCUCCUGAUCUCUGGUGCAGUUGCUCAGCUCUGCUGUUCAGACGCCAGAGCAGCCGGACAUUCCACACACCCACAGAGUGUUAUUAACAGAGGUGGCUGGGGCUGGAUUCGGUGUAUGAACUGCAGUUUGUCCCCACAGCCUCCUCACUAUUGAUGCCUGCACCAGAGCGUGCAUUUGCGACAAUGGGUGAACCUGCACUGACAAAUCAUCAUCACCCAGAGCCCAGACUUGACACUAGGAUUUACACUUGGUGGUGUGCACUCUGUGGGUUUCGACAGAUGUGCAAUGACAUGUAUCCACCGUCACAGCAUCAUACAGAGUAGUCUGUCUUAGUGACCUUAAAAUGCUCCGUGCUGCACCUCAUUCAUUGCUCCUUCCCCUCUAGCCUCUGACAGCCACUGAUCUUUUAGUCUCUGUGGUUUUGCCUUUCCCAGAACACCAUACAGUUGGAAUCAGACAGUUGCGGAACCUUCCCAGAUUGGCUUCUUUCACUUAGUAAUAUGCAUUUAAGGUUCCACCAUGUCUUUCCAUGCCUUGAUAACUCAUUUCAUUUUAGCACCAAAUAAUAGUCCAUUUUCUGGCUGGACCACAGUUUAUCCAUUCACCUACUGAAGAACAGCUUAGUUGCUUCUGAGUUCUGGUGAUUAUGAAUAAAGCUGCUAUUAACAUCUGUA